ensembl:lncRNA
GUGAAAUCGCGCGUGGUACACCUGUCCAGAGACGAGUCGUCGUGCUGCCGUGAAGGUUUUUGCGACGGCUCUGUAGCUUUUUCCAUUCAAACGUUGUUGCUGGAGAACUUUAGGAAGCUCCUUCACCAUGAUGCCGAUGAUCUUGGGAGGUCUUUUAUAACAACACCAGGUGCCAUUUUUUUUUUUUAAUGUUUAGGUGUACAUUUGAAGUGGAUAUAUUGUAUGCACCGGAAGUGUGUCAAAUAACAAAAAGAAUAUCGUCCGAAUACGUAUUUCCCCUCGUUGUAUUUAUAUUUCUGGUACGAUUUUGUAAGCUGGUUUGCAGUACAACACAGACUUAGAAGAGCGUGCACAUAACGUGUGUAACUUUCUUAACAAGAGAGCGCCUAAAACCCGGAAACGAGUUAGCAUGUAGCACGUCCGGGGUUCUUUGAAGGAGUUUUGAUUAAAUGCCUGAAAUAAGGUCUGUGGUUAACACAAUUUAUUCUAAACACACCAGUAAUACCCCGCUCGUGAUUCGCGGUCGCUAACGAGCGGCUAAAUGAGAGUACAGAGAUUAUCGAGGAAAUUAAACGUCAUCACACCGAACAGGAAAACUCAUCUACUACAGCCUCGUUGUAUUUAUACUCACGCUCUUGCACAAAUAUUCCAGACUCAGACUUUCCAACUUGUAGACUUACCAGUUUAUAAUAUUCUCCAGUUUUUUUAAUAAAGAUUGAAAGAGUUGUCGGAAGCGUAGCGGUGCUGACGUUGAAGUCAUGUGACCGCGGUGUAGCUCGUUUAUAGCCGAACGUUAGUGUUUUUCUUCUGGUGAUUGUAUUUAGGCUGCGAAAUUAAAUUAUAAACGUUUGUUGGUCACAGAGUUUAUUUUCUGCAAUAAUCUCAAAACCAGUGGGAAAAUCCUGUUGGAUUUUUGUCGAGGGAACCAGGGUGAUGCUACCUUCCGGGUUGGCUUACAAAAUUACGCCAUUUUUAGAGCACUCUAUUCCAAGUACUGUUUACUAAUAUAGACAUUUGCUCUGAAAGUCCCCUGAAGCUGGCUAGAAACGCACAGCAUUAUUCAA